ensembl:lncRNA
UUACUUUGUGAUAUAUUAUAUUAUUUAGUUUAGUCAGUUAUUGUUCUUACUGUCUUUGAGCCACUGUGACCACUUAGUUUCCUCUGAGAUUAGUAAAAUAUUCUUAUCUUAUCUUACAGAUUCAUGCUUCACCAGGUUGGUAAAACAAUUUUAAUUAUUAUUUUAAACAAACAUCAGUUGCUUUUGAAUUAAUUGUUGUCACGUCUGCCGUGGCAGAUGAGUGGAGGUUGAGAAUUAAGAUGCAGGCAGCUGAGAUGCAAGUCAGAUUUAUUCAUAAAGUGGUGAAACAAACAGAAAUAGUGAAGGCAUGAAUGGAAACUAAGCAAACCUAAACUGGAAGAAACGAACAAAACCAAACCUGAACCCUUAAAUGGCGAUGCAGGGAGACACGCUGAUGACACAGAAUGAUGCAGAGAAAGAACACAGACGAACCAGCAACAAGCACACGAGGACACACACUAUAAACACACACAGAGGGAAACGUGGAAUGCAAGAAAGGAAGACACAGCUGAACCAAAUUGACCUGACGAGACGGGGAAACAUAAACUGAACACACUAACAGAAGACACGGACCUUCACAAUAAAACAGGAAAUAAACAGAGACACGGUACAGACACUAAACAGAGGGAACACAGAAACCAAACUCUAGGAACUAAAAAGUCUAAACCCCAGUACACAAUCAGAACAAACACAAGAUCAUAAUAAUGAAAAACACAAACUGCUGCGUCAAAAGACCGAGGACCAUGACAAUUGUGUUUAUUUCCUGUUUUAGGUCGAUCCAGUCUGAGAGUCACAGUCCGGGCUCCUCCACAAAUCAUGGAGUCAACCAGAAUGAAACUCAUGUGUACGGCUCUCUUCAACAUGGUACUGCUGACGUCUAUGAAUCAGUCACACAAGUGACAAACAGAAAUGGUACAGUAUAUGUGCUGGAAAGCACAGAGCAGUUAGAGAUGAAACUUGUUUUUGAUUUAAUGAAUCUAAUUUCAUGUGAAAUGUUUUUACAAUCCUGUAACUAAAAAUCUGAACAUUUCAGGUUCAGAUGAAUACGAUGAUGUCACCUCCUCUCUUAUUGAGUUUCAAGAUCUUCGAACUAAGAGUGAGUACACCAAAGUUCAUUUUAUAAAAAGAAAACCUGGUUUGGAAAGUUUUUUAAUUAGUAUGAUUUUUCUUUUGGGAGUGUGUGUGUGUGUGUGUGUGUGUGUGUGUGUGUGGGGGGGGGGGGGGGUAUUAUUAAUGUAAGUUAGGUCUGGCAGCACUUUUCUCAUGUUAGGAAACACAGACAUUUACUCAAAUUUAUUAUUUUAUUCUUUUCAUAUUGUUUAAAUCUGUGUAUUUAGUGAGAUGGCAAAACAGUUAAACACCAAACAAAUGAAGAAUAAAAACAUAUAUUCAUCGUUCUUUGCAAGCUACACAUUAACUGUGCAAGCCAAAGUAAUCUAUUACAGGCACUAUUAGCAUAACACACAUUUCAAUGAUAUCAAAGUGCACUAAGAACCAGCCUGGACCAAAGCCAAGUGGAUAAUGAAGCUGUAUGGUAAAUGGUAAAUGGCCUGUAUUCGUAUAGCGCUUUAUUCAGUCCCUAAGGACCCCAAAGCGCUUUACACUACAUUCAAUCAUUGACCCAUUCACACACACAUUCACACACUGGUGAUGGCAAGCUACAUUGUAGCCACAGCUGUCCUGGGGCGCACUGACAGAGGCGAGGCUGCCGGACACUGGCGCCACCGGGCCCUCUGACCACCAUCAGUAGGCAACGGGUGAAGUGUCUUGCCCAAGGACACAACGACCGAGACUCUGUGAUAGACCAAUACAACGAAGCACAUAAUUGUGAACUGGUAUGAAAAUGACACAUGGUUUAAGCAAGUAAAAAUCUGCAUUUGUUUUCAGACAUCUGUACUCUGACACCACAAACUAAAAUCCAGUGCAUUCAAUUACCUUCAGAAAUCACCUAAUUAGAUAAUAGAGUUCACCUGUGUGUCAUUAUAAACAUCUGCUCUUUAGAGAUCUCAGUGGAUGUGAAGAGGUGGUUUGUUGGUUAAAAAUCCAUCAAUUGGGUAUUAGGGGCAGAGGUAUGGGUGGAUUUUGGAUUUUUUAAAGGGUAGGCAAAUACAAGUGAGAAUUGGAAAGAAUUACUCGGAGAAGUUUUCUGUAGAGAAAAGGACUCCCCAGGGGAGCAUAAUGAGUCCUUUAAUAUUUUCUCUAAUGAUAAGUGGGGAUUCAAAUUUUCAGUUGAUAAGACUAAGACAAUGUUGUUGGGUUUUUUUUUUUUUGUUGUUUUUUUUUUUUUUACAAAGAAAAGCGUGAGUGAGCUUUGGUCAGGCAGAAGUUA